rnacentral:rRNA from 1 species
UACGGAGGGUGCAAGCGUUAUCCGGAUUCACUGGGUUUAAAGGGUGCGUAGGAGGGCAGGUAAGUCAGUGGUGAAAUCCCCGAGCUUAACUUGGGAACUGCCGUUGAUACUAUCUGUCUUGAAUACCGUGGAGGUGAGCGGAAUAUGUCAUGUAGCGGAUGAAAUGCUUAGAUAUGACAUAGAACACCAAUUGCGAAGGCAGCUCGCUACACGAAUAUUGACUCUGAGGCACGAAGAGCGUGGGGAUCAAACAGGAAUUAGAAACCCCUUGGUAGUCCAA